rnacentral:ncRNA from 2 species
UAAUUUUUUUAGCAGAACAUUCGUAUAAUCUUGAUAAUAUGGUUCAAGAGUAUCUACCAAGGUACCAAAAAUCCUUGACUAUGAGUGGAUUCCGUGAAAAU